AAUCAGAUACACAACUGGCGGAAACAGUAUUUGCGAACCAAAGAGACAGCAACUGCUGUGUAGGACAACCUACAGGGAGUGUAUGGUCAUUGAAAAGCCGACCGUCUGGGCAAUGUUA
rnacentral:ncRNA from 2 species